GCUGUGCCCGUGUUCCAUGUGGAACUGCCAGGGCCCGGCGACGAGCACAACGCAGCCAUUCCCCUGCUGCCAGCGAUCUGUGAGCAGCUCCCAGGGAACGCUCGACAGGUGAUAUCUACAAGACUUGUCAGUCCUGAACUCAAUCUACUGUCUGGAGCUCUGCAGUCAUUCCAGCAGGAUGGGCAACCUCCUCCCAGUGAAGACUGCUGGAGAUACAGAGGAAGAGAUGGACGUCGACGUUGUGGUGGACACAGAGGAGAUGAUGGAGGUGGACGUCCAAGAGAUUGAUGAAGAGAUGGAGGUCGAUGUGGUGGAGGAGAUCGAAGAGAUGGAUGUCGACCAGUAAGAUGAGGAGGAGGACAUGGUGCUGGGAUGAGGACAGUCCCCCAGCAGCACGACAGGACUGACGGACCUGCCGGCCAUGGCAUCGGCCACCUGUACAUAUGUUUUUCAUUUUUUUCUGUAAAUAUGUUUUAUAUUGUUGAUUUUUUAAGAAGAUUGUUUUUUGUAUAGAGAAGAUAGAUUAAGAAGAUAGAUUUUUAAAUAAGAAGAUAGUUUUUUAUUAAGAAGGUAGUUUUUUUAAGAAGAUAAGGUUUCUUUUUAAGAUAGUGUUUUAUUAAGAAGAUAGUUUUUUUUAGAAGAUAGCUG